rnacentral:rRNA from 1 species
UACGAGGGGGGCAAGCGUUGUUCGGAAUUAUUGGGCGUAAAGGGUGCGUAGGCGGUUUGGUAAGUCUUAUGUGAAAUCUACAGGCUCAACUUGUAGUCUGCAUGAGAAACUGCCGGGCUUGAGUAUGGGAGAGGUGAGUGGAAUUCCUGGUGUAGCGGUGAAAUGCGUAGAUAUCAGGAGGAACACCUGUGGCGAAAGCGGCUCACUGGACCACGACUGACGCUGAGGAGCGAAAGCCAGGGGAGCAAACGGG